rnacentral:lncRNA from 1 species
GAUGGUUGUUGACCAUUUAUGGAGGUUGUUUGUGGUUUGUUAGUAUCCAUGGUCAAAGAAGAAACAAAAGAAAAGAAAUUAGAUUUAGGAGUCUUCCUAAUUCCUCUCACCUCUCUAUUGUUUCUCUCCUAUCUAGUGUUAGGAGGUUAAAACCAGGGAUAAAGGAAGGAAUAAAAAGAACUCAAAGUAGCAAAGACUAGCCACCAAUAUCUACCACCAAUGUUCUUCAAUAUAUACUGUAAGGAAUAAAAUCACCUCAUCCGAUUAGCAUUUCUGUUGACAUAUGGAGGUCUGCAAUGGGAUUGUUCUGGCAUUGAGAAUUGCCAUGCACUGAUGACAGCUGGUGCUGUGGAUUGUUAGCAUCUACAAUCUUCAUUGAUCCACACAGAAUCUAUACAUGAAUUAAAAUCUUACUAUGUUCCAAAGCUUGGAGCAGAAGGAAAUACAAACACUGAAAGUAUGAAACUCAAAAUAUCAUAAAUAUCAUAAAGAAAACAGCUAAAGAAGGAAUUGCAUUUCAUCUUCAUGUGAACUGAAAUGGAUGUGGAUACACCCUGGAGUCGGUUAUUAAUUUGGACAGAGGAGGCCAUCAUCAACUGAUCUUUUCAACUGAUCUUUGCAGGACGUGAGAGAGAGCGAAGCUUCCUUCGGUUUUACUUGGCUAAAGUGAUUCAUUGAGAAGAA